AUUGAACGCUAGCGGCAGGCCUAACACAUGCAAGUCGAACGAGUGGCGGACGGGUGAGUAAUGUCUGGGAAACUGCCUGAUGGAGGGGGAUAACUACUGGAAACGGUAGCUAAUACCGCAUACCAUCGGAUGUGCCCAGAUGGGAUUAGCUAGUAGGUGGGGUAAAGGCUCACCUAGGCGACGAUCCCUAGCUGGUCUGAGAGGAUGACCAGCCACACGGGAACGGAGACACGGUCCAGACUCCUACGGGAGGCAGCAGUGGGGAAUAUUGAACAAUGGGAGAAAGCCUGAUGCAGCAAUGCCGCGUGUAUGAAGAAGGCCUUCGGGUGGUAAAGUACUUUCAGCGGGGAUGCGUUAUCCGCAGAAGAAGCACCGGCUAACUCCGUGCCAGCAGCCGCGGUAAUUC
rnacentral:rRNA from 1 species